rnacentral:misc_RNA from 1 species
GAAAUGCGAUAAGUAAUGUGAAUUGCAGAAUUCAGUGAAUCAUCGAAUCUUUGAACGCACAUUGCGCCCCUUGGUAUUCCGGGGGGCAUGCCUGUUCGAGCGUCAUUUCAACCCUCAAGCUCAGCUUGGUAUUGAGUCCAUGUCAGUAAUGGCAGGCUCUAAAAUCAGUGGCGGCGCCGCUGGGUCCUGAACGUAGUAAUAUCUCUCGUUACAGGUUCUCGGUGUGCUUCUGCCAAAACCCAAAUUUUCUAUGGUUGACCUCGGAUCAGGUAGGGAUACCCGCUGAACUUAA